rnacentral:misc_RNA from 1 species
GGAUUGGAUAACUUUUCUGGAAUACAUUGCCUAUGGAAUAGAACUUAAAGGAAGCGAUGCCAAUGCCUCGUCAGAGGAAUAUCUUCUGGGUCUGGCCUUGUCUUCCUUCAAAUAUUGCUUUAUACAUUGAAGGGAACCUAUAACUGCCAUGGCCACCUUCUUAGAGAGAGCAUUCAAGUCUAUCAUAUCAGCCGUUGCUUACUGUUUCUUUCACCUUCAAGACGACCACGCAGGCAUCACCAAUAUCAACUACAACAUGCCUAAGGGGCGACCACUUUCUUUGCAGACUGUGGAGCUCAAAGUCCGGAUGUGUUGCAGUGGCUGUGAAAGAGUUGUAAAAAAUGCAAUUCACAAGCUUAGAGGAGUUGAUUCAGUGGAGGUUGACCUAGACAUGGAAAAGGUAACGGUGGUGGGGUACGUUGAUCAAAAUAAGGUGCUAAAGGCAGUGAGGAGGGUAGGAAAGAGAGCAGAAUUCUGGCCCUACCCGAAUCCGCCAUUGUACUUCACAUCUGCGAAUCACUAUUUCAAAGACACCACCAACGAAUUCAAAGAAAGCUACAAUUACUACAGGCAUGGCUAUAAUGUUGGGGAAAGGUAUGGCAACAUUCCGGUUACUCACCGUGGAGACGACAAGGUCAGCAACAUGUUCAAUGACGACAACGUUAAUGCCUGCUGUCUUAUGUAAUUAUAUAUACACACAUACAUACUUACAUCUCUACCUUAUGUGUGUGUGUGUGUAUAUAUAUAGUUAAGCCAACUGGAAUGCUGUCACAAAAAUGUAAGCAACUAAAUAUUGUAGUUACCCUGUUUUAGAAUUCUUCUCAAUUUUAGAGAAUUAGUGUGUAGAAGUAACAGGAACACUAAAACAAUUCCAAUUUCUAAGCAUUAUGGCUUUUACAACUAAAACUAGUGUUUGAAUGCCAACAAUUUUGUUACUUUUUUUUCUGUGUUUUGUGCUCAUAUCUCCUGAUUAAAAAUAAAAACUAUUUAUUAUUUUGAUGCUACUUUCUCUGAGAUAUUUUCGGCCAUCAUUAGCAGUAACCAGAAAUAAAACCAUGUAACCAACUAAUUUACAACUGUACUAUAAAAUUUGUAAGUAAAAAUGGCAAGGAGGAAGCAGCAGCAGGAAGUAGAAAGAGUGCUAGAAUAUUUGCAUUGGAGGAGAAAGCUCACAUGCUAGCCAUCCAAAAACAGACAAAAUCUAAAACUAUUUGUGGCACUGAUGCUAGCAUUAGUUCAUCAUCACUAGCAGCUGCUAAAAGGAGGGGCUGCAAGAGCAAAAGUCUCCAAGCAGUCAUCAAUAAUUCUGUUACUACCUCUCCUCACCAGGAAGGAGAAGAACCAAAACCUGAAGAUAAUGCAACAAAAGCUGGUGAGCCCUUUAAUGCACAGUUGAAAAAAGAUAUAAUAUAAUCCUUUUUUCUAUGUUCCCAGUUCUAAUUAAUUUACUUUAUUGUCCAAGAACAAAUGGAAAAUUUGCCAUCCCUGCAAUGGAUGCCGAAGAAACAGACACUAGAGUUUGUCCUGGACAUAUUGCAGAGGAGAGACACACAAGAAAUUUUUGCACAGCCAGUUGAUCCCCAAGAGGUGCUUGGCUAUUACAAUAUCCUUAGAGAGCCAAUGGAUUUUGGCACAAUGAGGGCUAAACUUCAGGAAGGAAUGUAUACAAGUUUGGAACAAUUUGAGGUUUGCUCCAAAAUCAGAAGAACGUUGUGUCAAGAACUUCACAUAGUUUAAAUUCUAUGAAUUAUUCUGCAGCAUGAUGUAUUUCUGAUAUCCAGCAAUGCAAUGAAGUUCAAUUCUUCAACAACAGUUUAUUAUGCAGAGGCUAGAGCUAUAAGUGAAUUGGCUCAGAGGCUUUUCUGUGCUUUGAGAACUGAACCAGAAAACUCUCAAUUGGAGUGCUCGAGGACAAGGAGACGCCCUGGUAGGAAACCACAAAGUGCAGCUGGAGGUUUGCUCUCUGGGUCUGCUAAACCUGCUAGUUCCAAAGAUGGUGUUUCCCUUAAUGAUCCAUCUAUCAAGAGAACUACCCUUCAGUUACCCCAAUUCAAGCCUUACAUUGGCCAAACGAGUAAUGGAAUUCUUCCUGGCAAGAGAGACUAAUUUAUUGUACUUAAGUGCUUGAAAAUUGGAGUAGAUAUUAUUUUAUUUGGUACAUUAGAAAUUCUUGAAGGGAAGGUUUAAAUUUCUAACUUCUGCACUACGAGAUAAGUGUUAAACUACUGGGCUACUAGCCCAAUGGCUUGGAGUGGAUGUCAUUAAUUUUGUAGCAAUACUAGGUAGAUAUAUGCAUUUAUUUAUCUAUAUAAAGAAGUAAACUUGAUCUAUUCUUACUUGAUUUCAACAGUGUCAAGAGAUGGUAGGAGAUUAAAUUCCUCUGCAACUGAAACGUGUAUGACAUAUGUGUCUCAGCAUCCCUUACAUAGUGAGAAUGAGAAGUUUGUUUCAACAGUUUAUAAUGCCCCAAAACCACUUAACCAUGUUUCAAAUGCAGGUUCCCGAUAUGCAGAGAGUAAUGAAAUUUGUUAGAGAUCUAGGGCCAGCAGCUCAAAUUGCUGCCAACAAUGAACUACUAAAAUAUCCAAUUGAAGCUCCAAAUGUUCUUUCCUAGACUCAAACACCACCUUUUGGCAAGACUGCUAAUUGUCUACUUCCUGCACUAUCUACCCUCCAGAAUCCUGCAGCUUAUCUGAAUGGGGGUGAUGGUGGUCAAAUGCCUUGCAAUAUCAUUUCUAACCCUUCUGGUUCCUAUAAAGGAAAGAUGGUCUACACUGAUGGAGGAAUGAAUACUUCUGGAAGAGAAUUGAUCUCUCCUCACAACAGUUUAGCAGGAGCAAGGCCUCAGACCACUGAUGGUGGACUCACUGAUUACAAGUUAGUUGGAGGGCAGGGUCCUAACAAAAGCGGAAAUACAGAUGCCUGUGGUUCUUCCAAAUCCAGUGACAAUAUGGACCUUCUUCUUGCAACUCUGAUGCAAAACAGUGCUAUUCAAAAUCGAACUAACUAUACUUCAUCAGGUACAUAUUUUCCUCUUACAGGAUAUGAAGAUCUGCCUCCUGCUCCAUCAUCUCAGAUCAACAAUGAAUCUCAGUCAUGGCUGCUAAAUAACCAUUCACAGUCUACAAGCUUGCCUUACCAAACUAGUAAAAUUGCAAGUACUAAUAAUGCCACAACCACCUCCUCUACGAGUGGAUUUCCAAAUGGAGAGGGGCCAAGCACUGCUGCUCCAGCUGCUGCAUUAGACCAAAACAAGCUAAUGGAAGGGAAACAACCUGCAGCACCAUGGGGUCUGCCGGUGAUGAGUGAUCUUCCUGUCUUGCAAACAGAGGCUAACAAGCAGAUUCCACCUACCCAGAACAUGUUACAGCAACAAGUACAAGUUGCAUCAACUAAAGAAAUACCAUUGUUCAAUACAAUGAAAUCUCUUGAAGGAGUUAAGCCCCAAGGUCAUAAGGCAACUUUCAAGCAGCCUGAUUUGGAUCUCUAACUUUGAGCUUAAUGCCUCUAUGCCCUGAAUAAGAGAAGACGACAGCUGUCUUGCUUUUUUUAAUAACAAUUUAUAAAUAUAUAUAUAAAGAUGAUAUAUUGGAAUUGGCCUUGGCCUGUUCUUAAAAGUUGGUGGAUACUACAAUAGCCAUUAAUGGAUUUUUGUCCUAAAGAGUUUUAAAAGAUUGUUGCCUUCAUCAUCAGGCUUAAAAAUCAGUAAGUGAUUUGGUUUAAGCCUAAUUUUAUCUGGUUGAAUCCUUGUGUUGUGUCCCUAGGCAUUGCUUU